GGGCGUAAGGGCUCGCAGGCGGUUUCUUAAGUCUGAUGUGAAAGCCCCCGGCUCAACCGGGGAGGGUCAUUGGAAACUGGGAAACUUGAGUGCAGAAGAGGAGAGUGGAAUUCCACGUGUAGCGGUGAAAUGCGUAGAGAUGUGGAGGAACACCAGUGGCGAAGGCGACUCUCUGGUCUGUAACUGACGCUGAGGAGCGAAAGCGUGGGGAGCGAACAGGAUUAGAUACCCUGGUAGUCCACGCCGUAAACGAUGAGUGCUAAGUGUUAGGGGGUUUCCGCCCCUUACUGCUGCAGCUAACGCAUUAAGCACUCCGCCUGGGGAGUACGGUCGCGAGACUGAAACUCCACGGAAUUGACGGGGGCCCGCACAACCGGUGGAUCUUGUGGUUUGGUUCAACACAUGCCAAAGAACCUGCUCACGUCUUGACGGCCUCUGACAACCCU
rnacentral:rRNA from 1 species